rnacentral:rRNA from 1 species
GACGAACGCUGGCGGCGUGCCUAACACAUGCAAGUCGAACGGAACUCAUUGGAAUGAGACUUCGGUCGAAUGAUAGUGAGUUUAGUGGCGGACGGGUGAGUAACGCGUGAGCAACCUGCCUUUCAGAGGGGGACAACAGUUGGAAACGACUGCUAAUACCGCAUGAUGUAUUUCGAGGGCAUCCUUGAAAUACCAAAGAUUUUAUCGCUGAAAGAUGGGCUCGCGUCUGAUUAGUUAGUUGGUGGGGUAACGGCCUACCAAGACUACGAUCAGUAGCCGGACUGAGAGGUUGAACGGCCACAUUGGGACUGAGAUACGGCCCAGACUCCUACGGGAGGCAGCAGUGGGGAAUAUUGGGCAAUGGGGGCAACCCUGACCCAGCAACGCCGCGUGAAGGAAGAGGGCUUUCGGGUUGUAAACUUCUUUGACGAGGGACGAGUAAAUGACGGUACCUCGAAAACAAGCCACGGCUAACUACGUGCCAGCAGCCGCAGUAAUAC